CCUACGGGAGGCAGCAGUGGGGAAUAUUGCACAAUGGGGGAAACCCUGAUGCAGCAACGCCGCGUGAGUGAAGAAGUAUUUCGGUAUGUAAAGCUCUAUCAGCAGGGAAGAGAAUGACGGUACCUGACUAAGAAGCCCCGGCUAACUACGUGCCAGCAGCCGCGGUAAUACGUAGGGGGCGAGCGUUAUCCGGAUUUACUGGGUGUAAAGGGAGCGCAGGCGGCACGGCAAGCCUGAUGUGAAAGCCCGCGGCCCAACCGCGGGACUGCAUUGGGAACUACCGGGCUGGAGUGCCGGAGAGGUAGGCGGAAUUCCUAGUGUAGCGGUGAAAUGCGUAGAUAGUAGGAGGAACACCAGUGGCGAAGGCGGCCUACUGGACGGUGACUGACGCUGAGGCUCGAAAGCGUGGGGAGCAAACAGGAUUAGAUACCCCAGUAGUC
rnacentral:rRNA from 1 species